GUAGGGAAUAUUGGGCAAUGGAUGCAAGUCUGACCCAGCCAUCCCGCGUGCCGGAAGAAGGCCCUCAGGGUUGUAAACGGCUUUUGACGGUGAAGAAUCGACAGGAUGCGUCCUGUUUUGACGGUGGCCGUUGAAUAAGCACCGGCUAACUCCGUGCCAGCAGCCGCGGUAAUACGGAGGGUGCGAGCGUUGUCCGGAUUUAUUGGGUUUAAAGGGUGCGUAGGCUGGAAGGUCAGUCAGCGGUGAAAAGCUGUCGCUUAACGAUAGUCUUGCCGCAGAUACUUCCUUUCUUGGAUGAGGAGGAGGCCACUGGAACGGAUGGUGUAGCGGUGAAAUGCAUAGAUAUCAUCCAGAACACCGAUUGCGAAGGCAGGUGGCUGUACCUUAAUCGACGCUGAUGCACGAAAGCAUGGGGAGCAAACAGGAUUAGAAACCCCGGUAGUCC
rnacentral:rRNA from 1 species